rnacentral:snRNA from 1 species
GGAUGUGAGGGCAAUUUGGCUGCAACAUCUGUCACCCCAUUGAUCGCCAGGGUUGAUUCGGCUGAUCUGGCUGACUAGGCAGGCGGGUGUCUCCUUCCGCACCUCUCCAUGUGCGUCCCUCCCGAAGCUGUGCACUCAGUUGAAGAGGACGGCCUUCCUCGAAUAGAAAUUGAGAGGAAG